AUUGAACGCUGGCGGCAGGCCUAACACAUGCAAGUCGAGCGGAUGAAGGGAGCUUGCUCCUGGAUUCAGCGGCGGACGGGUGAGUAAUGCAUAGGAAUCUGCCUGGUAGUGGGGGAUAACGUCCGGAAACGGGCGCUAGUACCGCAUACGUCCUGAGGGUGAAAGUGGGGGAUCUUCGGACCUCACGCUAUCAGAUGAGCCUAGGUCGGAUUAGCUAGUUGGUGGGGUAAAGGCCUACCAAGGCGACGAUCCGUAACUGGUCUGAGAGGAUGAUCAGUCACACUGGAACUGAGACACGGUCCAGACUCCUACGGGAGGCAGCAGUGGGGAAUAUUGCACAAUGGGCGAAAGCCUGAUGCAGCCAUGCCGCGUGUGUGAAGAAGGUCUUCGGAUUGUAAAGCACUUUUAGUUGGGAAGAAGAACAGUAAGUUUAUACCUUGCUGUUUUGACGUUACCAACAGAGUAAGCACCGGCUAACUUCGUG
rnacentral:rRNA from 1 species